rnacentral:rRNA from 1 species
ACGCUGCCGGCGUGCUUACACAUGCAAGUCGACGGAAAGCCCCCACCUUUUUGGUGGGGUGCUCGAGUGCGAACGGGUGAGUACACGUGGGUGAUCUGCCCUGUACUUCGGAUAAGCUUGGAAACUGGUCUAAUACCGGAUAGGACCAUGGUUUAGUGUCUCAUGGUGAAAAAUUAUUGUUUUGGUGCAGGUUGAGCUCGCGGCCUAUCAGCUUGUUGGUGGGGUAAUGCCUACCAAGGCGUCGACGGGUAGCCGGCCUGAGAGGGUGACGGCCACAUUGGGACUGAGAUACGGCCAGACUCCUACGGGAGGCAGCAGUGGGGAAUAUUGCACAAUGGGCGCAAGCCUGAUGCAGCGACGCCGCGUGGGGGAUGACGGCCUUCGGGUUGUAACUCCUUUCGUAGGGACGAAGCCACGCCUUUUGGGUGUGGUGACGGUAC